rnacentral:rRNA from 1 species
CCCCAGACUCCUACGGGAGGCAGCAGUGGGGAAUAUUGCACAAUGGGGGAAACCCUGAUGCAGCGACGCCGCGUGAGUGAAGAAGUAUUUCGGUAUGUAAAGCUCUAUCAGCAGGGAAGAAAAUGACGGUACCUGACUAAGAAGCCCCGGCUAACUACGUGCCAGCAGCCGCGGUAAUACGUAGGGGGCAAGCGUUAUCCGGAUUUACUGGGUGUAAAGGGAGCGUAGACGGCAUGGCAAGUCAGAUGUGAAAGCCCGGGGCUCAACCCCGGGACUGCAUUUGAAACUGUCAGGCUGGAGUGCAGGAGAGGUAAGUGGAAUUCCUAGUGUAGCGGUGAAAUGCGUAGAUAUUAGGAGGAACACCAGUGGCGAAGGCGGCUUACUGGACUGUAACUGACGUUGAGGCUCGAAAGCGUGGGGAGCAAACAGGAUUAGAUACCCUUGUA